rnacentral:rRNA from 1 species
GUAGGUGGCAAGCGUUGUCCGGAAUUAUUGGGCGUAAAGCGCGCGCAGGCGGUCCUUUAAGUCUGAUGUGAAAGCCCACGGCUCAACCGUGGAGGGUCAUUGGAAACUGGGGGACUUGAGUACAGAAGAGGAAAGCGGAAUUCCAAGUGUAGCGGUGAAAUGCGUAGAGAUUUGGAGGAACACCAGUGGCGAAGGCGGCUUUCUGGUCUGUAACUGACGCUGAGGCGCGAAAGCGUGGGGAGCAAACAGGAUUAGAUACCCUGGUAGUCCACGCCGUAAACGAUGAGUGCUAAGUGUUAGGGGGUUUCCCGCCCCCCUUAGUGCUGCAGCUAACUCAUUAAGCACUCCGCCUGGGGAGUACGGCCGCAAGGCUG